rnacentral:sRNA from 1 species
GGCUCUGCAAAUGUCCCCUUUUUUCCUCAUUAUGCCAUUUGCAUUCCUUCCAAAGCUGCUCACUCAGUGCAAGAAAAUGACCUUCCCAGACAGAGAAGGAGUGUUCUUUAGUCAAAGAUAUAGGAGUAGCUGGGCUCCUUGGCAGAACCUCCAAACAGGAAAAGAUUUCACAUGUAUUCAGUCAGCUUAGCAUUGCUGG